rnacentral:rRNA from 1 species
GCCAGGGAACUACGAGCCAAGCUUAAAACCCAAAGGACUUGACGGUGCUCCAUAUCCCCCUAGAGGAGCCCGUCCUAUAAUCGAUGAUCCCCGUUUAACCUCACCGCCCCUAGCUUUUUCAGCCUGUAUACUUCCGUCGUCAGCUUACCACAUGAGCGAAAUUCAGUUAGCCUAAUGUCCCAUAAUUAAUUAUAUCGUCAAUACGUCAGGUCAAAGUGCAGCAAAUGAGGCGGGAAGAGAUUGGCUACACUUUUUAAUUUAAAAAAUACGAAAGACAAAAAAUGAAACUUUGUCAGAAGGUGGAUUUAGAAGUAAAGAGAAUUCAUUACACUCUUUUUAACAAGGCACUGGAGCGUGU